UUAAAGUCACGCACGUGACUUCGCUGCCCGGGACGCAUCAUCGGAAACGCCGAAAUGAACCUCUGGCCCGGCGGCGACAUCGCAGGAAGCAAACCUCAUUGAAUUUGUCUUGCAAUCGCGACAUGGGAGUGAAGAACCCCAUCGACAUCGAGACCGCAACGAACCUCAUCGAAUCUGUUCUGGAGCGGCGAGCAGAUUCAUCCAGUUGAAGGAAAAGAGGUCCUCUUUAAACCUUCUCUGAUGCAUUCUUGCUGUCUUGUGGUGUUACUGUGGCUGUCUAGCUGCACUCCUUGCUCAGCUGCUGGUUUUUGCUGCUGUUUUAGCUGGUUUUUGGGGCUGUCCAAAUGCAUUUUUGCUGUUUGUGGUGCUGCUGUCAUGUUACUGGAAUUCUAUGCUGUUUGUGAUGCUGUUGUGGCUGUCUAGCUGCUUUCCUUGUUGUUGUUGAUCCUGCUGUCACUGCUGCUGUUUAUGCUGCUGUUUACGCUGUUUUUUGCUGGUUUUUGGGACUGUCCAAAUGCAUUUAUGCUGUCUUUGAAGCUGUUGUCUUGCUUCUGGAAUUCUAUGCUGUUGUCUUGCUUCUGGAAUUAUACUUAGAAGACCAAGAAUAAAGAUUUAGCCUUUUUGAGGUAUUAGAGUUUGGUGGUUCAGAUUUCCUAUUAAUUCCUAGAAAGUGCUCAACCUUUCUAACUUGCAGUAUAUUUGUAAAUUUAAGCACAAUGUUUCAUUGAUUCAUGGCAAAAAGCUUACUCAAGAAACAUUCUUUAUAAGAGUUUUGGAAGCAUGAAUUCCUCCAAAGACUAAUAGCACUUAAUGGAGUGAUCUACAUCUGCUAUGGGUUCAGGUCAUGGUUUAAGUCAAUAAUUAGCUUAAGAAAGUCAAAAGGAGGAUGAUCAAAGAAAGCAAAUGUGCCUUGCACUUCCUGUCAUUUGUGACACAUUGAAAUUUUUUUGAGACAAAUCUAGAGUUUUUGAAUCUCAUUUGGAACAGAUUCAAAACAUGAAUUCUACAAAGCACUGAACAUUGCAGUCCUUCAGCUUAAAAGAGCUUCACGGGAAAGGUUCCAAAGAGCUUCCAGUUUGUGUUACAACUACAUUGUAUUCUUUUUAUUGUUGCAGCUACUUUUGGACAGCAUUAGAGUAGGAACUAUUGUACUCAAAAUAUAUGCAUUAAUGUAACAAAAGUUGUCAUAGCUAAAUUAUAAUACUUCUAUUAUUGCAGCUGCUUUUAACAGCAUUAGAGUCUGAACUAUUGUACUUGAAAUUUAUGGAUUGAUGUAACAAAAGCUCUCUUUGCAAUAAAAUGUAGCAGAAAUUUUGAUUCAAA